GGAUUAGAAACCCUGGUAGUCCACGCCCUAAACGAUGUCAACUAGCUGUUGGGGGCUUCGGCUCUUGGUAGCGCAGCUAACGCGUGAAGUUGACCGCCUGGGGAGUACGGUCGCAAGAUUAAAACUCAAAGGAAUUGACGGGGACCCGCACAAGCGGUGGAUGAUGUGGAUUAAUUCGAUGCAACGCGAAAAACCUUACCUACCCUUGACAUGUCUGGAAUGCCGAAGAGAUUUGGCAGUGCUCGCAAGAGAACCGGAACACAGGUGCUGCAUGGCUGUCGUCAGCUCGUGUCGUGAGAUGUUGGGUUAAGUCCCGCAACGAGCGCAACCCUUGUCAUUAGUUGCUACGAAAGGGCACUCUAAUGAGACUGCCGGUGACAAACCGGAGGAAGG
rnacentral:rRNA from 1 species